rnacentral:misc_RNA from 1 species
GAUGAAGAACGUAGCGAAAUGCGAUACUUGGUGUGAAUUGCAGAAUCCCGUGAACCAUCGAGUCUUUGAACGCAAGUUGCGCCUCAAGCCAUUAGGUUGAGGGCACGUCUGCUUGGGCGUCACAUAUCGUUGCCUGAUGCCAGUUUCCUCGUGAUGGGUGACUGUGCAGGGCGAAUGAUGGCUUCCCGUGAGCAUUGUUGCCUCAUGGUUGGUUGAAAAUUGAGUCCUUGGUAGGGAGCGCCGUGAUAGAUGGUGGUUGAGUGACGAACGAGACCCAAUCAUGUGAGACCCCUACCGAAUUUGGCCUUCAUGACCCACAUGCGUCUUUGGAACGCUCAUGACGAGACCUCAGGUCAGGCGGGGCUACCCGCUGAGUCUAAGCAUAUCAAUAAGCGGAGGA